rnacentral:rRNA from 1 species
GCAGUCGAGCGGUAAGGCCCUUCGGGGUACACGAGCGGCGAACGGGUGAGUAACACGUGGGUGACCUGCCCUCAGCUCUGGGAUAAGCCUGGGAAACUGGGUCUAAUACCGGAUAUGACCUGGCCUCGCAUGGGGUUGGGUGGAAAGUUUUUCGGCUGGGGAUGGGCCCGCGGCCUAUCAGCUUGUUGGUGGGGUGAUGGCCUACCAAGGCGACGACGGGUAGCCGGCCUGAGAGGGCGACCGGCCACACUGGGACUGAGAUACGGCCCAGACUCCUACGGGAGGCAGCAGUGGGGAAUAUUGCGCAAUGGGCGAAAGCCUGACGCAGCGACGCCGCGUGGGGGAUGACGGCCUUCGGGUUGUAAACCUCUUUCGACCGGGACGAAGGGUGACUGACGGUACCGGUAGAAGAAGCACCGGCCAACUACGUGCCAGCAGCCGCGGUAAUACGUAGGGUGCGAGCGUUGUCCGGAAUUAUUGGGCGUAAAGAGCUCGUAGGCGGUGUGUCGCGUCGGUCGUGAAAACUUGGGGCUUAACCCUGAGCGUGCGGUCGAUACGGGCAUCACUUGAGUUCGGCAGGGGAGACUGGAAUUCCUGGUGUAGCGGUGAAAUGCGCAGAUAUCAGGAGGAACACCGGUGGCGAAGGCGGGUCUCUGGGCCGAUACUGACGCUGAGGAGCGAAAGCGUGGGGAGCGAACAGGAUUAGAU